AGCCGUCCUACUGGGAGUGGAACAGUCGCCACUCUCAAUGAGAUAACUGUCUGUUUUGGUGAUUGCUCUGCUCACGGCCCACCUUGCUCCUGUUUGAAGAGGAAUCAUCCAGGAGCCUUCGAUGGGUGAGAAUAUGCAUAAGUGGACCUGAGCAGCCUGGACAUCCUUCUAAGGAGACAUGAAUAGUUGUCAUCUUUCUGCCUUCUGCGUAACUGGCUGUGAGUAAAUGAGUCUCCUGCACUCAUGCAAUGGAAAUCAAGUGAGAGCAAGAGGACCUCGAACUAUUAAUGCCACGAAAAAGCUGUCCCACUGCGAACAGAACAGCCGCCACUCUCAAUGAGAUAAGUGUCUGUUUUGGUGAUUGCUCUGCUCACAGUCCACCUUGUUCUUGGUAGAGAUGUCCCAUUAGUUGGGGCUGUUUGUAAGAAAAUGUUUUUGUCGA